AGUGAGAUAGCUGGGUCAAAUGGUGGUUCCAUUCCUAGAUUUUCAAGGAAUCUCCAUAGAGCUUUCCAGAUUGGUUGCACCAAUUUGCAGUCUCAUCAGCAAU
rnacentral:pre_miRNA from 1 species